ACCGCAGACGCCUUCUUGGUGAUGAUGAUGGGCGCGAAGCUGCAAGAGAGCCUGGAUCUUGGGGGAAAAAGAGCUCUAUGGCCGCCGCGUUAUCAUUCCACCGUCCAGAGGAGAGGUCGUCGGUGACCGGAGAUCGACAUGAGUCGAGUCGAUUUAGGUGGCGGCCAGAAUCCAUUGGCAGAAACCUUAGCUCCUUUAUUAUUAGGUAUAGAUUAGGUAUAGAUAUAUAGAUACGUGGUCUGUUCGUCCGACGCUUCAGUCUUCGUCCCACCGUUUUUUUUCCAGCGCUAAACCACCGGCUUAUUUUAGUCCCUCUCCGCCUCUUCCUUCCGUCCCACCGAUUUUUCCCCUCCAGCAUAGCCUUCCCCUCACGGCGCCUUCGCUUUCCGCACCUUGCCCAAGCGCCGCCGCCGCAUCACGCAUCUUUGAUCUGUUGCACCGCCGCCUUUACGGAGGAGACGGUCAUCAGCAGUUUCGCACAAGCACGUCGCUUACCAAGGGGCUGCCGCCGUCGCGCCGAACGCAUCCUAAGAUUUCUCCUCAAUUAAGCUCCUCUGUCCCACCACGCCUCGCCUCUCCCAUCCCCGAUCGCGCGGGACGGUGGACGCCAUGAGAAUUGAACAGUUUGAUCGGAGUUCCUGUCGGACCUAAGGCCACACACAUCGACGAGCUCUGGAUCCUCGCGCACGGAGAGAUUAUCCGCCGGCAGGCGCAUCCUCGAUCAACAUGUGAUUCGUCCACUGAGUUGGCUGGGGCCGGCCUCUCUUUAAUUGGUGAUAAACUGAUCAUUCGUUUGGUUCGUUCUUUGGUUGGCUCCUCUGGUCCGGUGUUGGGGUUGACUUAAAACUUCUCCCUUUGCUGCGCUGGCCAGCGGCCAUGUUCUUUCUAUGUGAGAGUUCUUGUACUGGUGGGUUCCAAAGUUAGUGCCUCGCAAACGGAAAAGUACGCGCUACCUGAGAGGGUGCAUUUGAAUGAAGUUCCUCGCGAGGGAGAUGCUAAAUUGCUAAUGGUGAGCAGCAUUUGUUUGGUCAUAUGCAGUUCCUACAAGUAGAAUAGGAGCUCUGAGCUGAUCCACCCGAUCUGAUCUAGGUAAAAAUCUUCAGUCCAAUCACCUGCUGGUUUCAGUACAGCAAUUGUUCUGCUUGAACAUUUGUGAAAUAUAACAGGUCCUGCAAUUUACUCUGAAAUACAAUAAGUUCAUUGAUCCAUGUAUAACUUGUUUGUUCCCAUUCCUCGCAGAUAUGUGCAACUUUUAACUUGCUUGCCAUACAUUUCAGUUAUUAUGCAAGAUUCCAUUGGAUGCCUACAACUAAUCUAAUACAGUAUAUUUUUCUAAUGAGACCUGUCAUGUAUUUAACAUUAAUAUCCAGAAGUAAAGUUUCAUAACUUUUUGAAUCGACGUAAAGCUUGUUCAUCGCCUCUAAUACAGUAUGUCUUUGCAAAUAUACACAUUUAGAAAAAAUUGGCAUGUGCAAAGGCCAAGCAAGUUCACGUCCAGUGAUCUGCACAACCAUGGAACCAGCUUUAUUGGAUUGACAAGAUUAUGCAUGUUGAUACCUGCACUAUGCUCAUCAUUAGCAAGAUUAAGGAAGGAGUUCAUGAGACGGUCUACACGGAGAAUUAGUACUUUUGAAUGGUUCACUUUAAUUGGGACCACAAGCUCUGAAGAUUGCAUAUAUAUAACUCCUUAGUGAGGACUGACUAUUAGUUAGGCAUGUCUAAACCAGGUUCUGGUGAGAGUGAGUUUGCGACCUGCACUGAUUUUUCUUGGCAUCAUUUUAACUUGUGAGUGGGGAUGGUGCUUUAGUUCUUGGUAUUUUAGAGAUAGCAAACUAUCUGUAUGGUACAAUACUCUAGAAUCAAGAUAUCAUGGGAGAAUGUGUAAGAAAAAUAUUAAGUGCGAUUGGUAUUGAAAGUUAGCAGCCACUAGAGCAAUCAUAUUCUGUGAUUUACUAUGGGCAUCUCGACACUUGCUCUAAUGCUACUUAUUGAUCUUAUUAUCUCUUCAAACAAAGUACAUGAGCAAGGUCUAAUUGCCAUACUGCAUUAUCCACUAUCACGUUUUUUUUAAGGCGGUAAGGCGUCCUAAAGCGCUCUACCCCUGCUCUGACGCCUAAAGCGGGAAAAUUUUCUAGACUUGGCUAGGGCGCCUCAUCUCCUAAGCAUCCUAAGGAGGACGCCCUUCAAAACAUGCUAAUUCUAGAGAUAUAUGAUUUGAAGUGUUGGUAUAUUUUUCAUUACAGAGUCCUUUUCAAUAAUGUAUUUCCAUGGAUUAUGAUCCAGUUAUUUUGGUGGCUUGCAUAAUCAGGUUAACCACUAUACAUGUAUUAUCUCUGUAGGAUUUCCAUCAACUGGGCAAAAUUAAAUUAUUAUUUUGGAGGAAAAUAGUUUCUCCUCGCGAACAGAUGUGGAUAUUAAUUGAAUUUGGAGAGCAUGAAGGAUUGAGGUAACAUUGUUUUACAGAAGUUUAUGCCACCUUCAUCACAGAAUGCUUCACUGACCAAUGUAGAUAUGUCGUUAUCUGAAUUAUGUUUCACCUGUGCUCGUUAACUUGUAUGUGACUUUGUUGGUAGCCCCCAACUAUAAUUCACUAAGUCCGCCAAACAAAUUUCGGUGGAAUUUGUGCUGCUUGAUUAGCUCAAUUUUCAGGGAUUGUGAUGGAGGCCUCUCGGGGCAGAGUAUCUUAACCAACAACCCAUCAGUAUGUUAACUUCGUAGAGUCAUUAAGGUUAUUAGGGGAAGAGCCAUAUUCUUCUGCUGCAAUUGUUGGAUCGUAUGGCUCAGCCACGGUGGCGGAUAAUGGCGAGAAGUGUUUUGUACUUCCAAAUAUUGUGCGGUUGCUUCUAGCAAUGGGCUUUAGUAACAUUCAACUGAUUCAGGAUGAGCUUGUCCGGCAUAUAUGAGCUGGGUAUACAGUUGUAGAUGACAAGUGCAAGUUAUAAAAUUACGCAUCACAAAACUUUUUAGCAGGCAAAGAGUUCAUUGCUGAAAUAUAAACUCGGAUGCAGUGCUUCUUUUUUAAUGGUCGGUGUUUAUUCCUGAAGAUAAUAUGGGUGACGAAGGAGGAGAGAGGGAUGACGUACUAGAUAUGGAACUGGACAAAGAGCGUUUAUCAGGUUGGUAGACUACACUUUGUCUAUCUCAUAGCGUGGGGAUAGAGAAAUUAGAGCCCACAUCAGGGAAGAGAGUCACUAUGGUGGAAACUUGUCAAUACUACAUAGUACAUUUUGAUCCAUAUCUAUAUGACUAUGUAUCUUAGUUUUUUGUAAGCAAUGCACGAAUCACAUGAGAUGGAGGAAAUAAUGUUAGUUAAUUGACAUGUCUCUGUAUCAGUAGUUUUACGUAAGUGACAUAUAUGCAUGUAUUAGCUAGGUUGCUCCAGAUUCUAUAGCCUUUUGUCAAAUUACAUUUGAGCAAAACAGAAUCUUACCAUUUUAAAAUAUUAUGUGACAAUUUUUUAUACAUGUGAUUUUCAUGUGUCUAAUGUUUAAAUGCAUAUGAAAUACAAACUUGACAGCUAAUGGGCAUGAACCUCGUCAAAGAUUCCUGGGAUAGGAUAAGGUACAUGGUGAAGCAAAAAGGUAGAGCGCCGUGGGUUUCAUGGCAAGUUAAACGGAUGGGAUUUUAGUAGUGGAGAUUUAAGGAAUAGGAAAAUGCACUCACCCGACUAAGAAAUGAUGCUAAACAAGAUGUUCCUGGUUGGAAGUAAAAACACACUAGCUUUAACCGGCAAGCGAGUGGAUAGACAAUCUGAGAGAGA